rnacentral:ncRNA from 2 species
AAGCCGGUGGGAUUCCGGCGCUGACCUGCAACCGUGAGCGGCCUGGGGCCUUUCUUUCAGAUCGGGCUGGAUCAGGGAGCGCGGGCUGGUGCGUGCAGCUGCAAGGCGGAGGA